GACGAACGCUGGCGGCGUGCUUAACACAUGCAAGUCGAACGAAGUGGCGAACGGGUGAGUAACGCGUAAUCAACCUGCCCUUCGGAGGGGGACAACAGUUGGAAACGACUGCUAAUACCGCAUACUGAAUGAGGGGUUUGCGUCUGAUUAGCUAGUUGGAGGGGUAACGGCCCACCAAGGCGAUGAUCCGUAGCCGGUCUGAGAGGAUGAACGGCAAAAUUGGGACUGAGACACGGCCCAGACUCCUACGGGAGGCAGCAGUGGGGAAUCUGGCGCAAUGGGCGAAAGUCUGACGGAGCAACGCCGCGUGAGUGAAGACGGCCUUCGGGUUGUAAAGCUCUGUUAGUGGGGAGGCGGUACCGGAAUAGAAAGCCACGGCUAACUACGUGCCAGCACCGGGGGUAUAC
rnacentral:rRNA from 1 species